rnacentral:rRNA from 1 species
GACGAACGCUUGCGGCGUGCUUAACACAUGCAAGUCGAACGGAAAGGCCCUGCUUUUGUGGGGUGCUCGAGUGGCGAACGGGUGAGUAACACGUGAGUAACCUGCCCUUGACUUUGGGAUAACUUCAGGAAACUGGGGCUAAUACCGGAUAGGAGCUCCUGCUGCAUGGUGGGGGUUGGAAAGUUUCGGCGGUUGGGGAUGGACUCGCGGCUUAUCAGCUUGUUGGUGGGGUAGUGGCUUACCAAGGCUUUGACGGGUAGCCGGCCUGAGAGGGUGACCGGCCACAUUGGGACUGAGAUACGGCCCAGACUCCUACGGGAGGCAGCAGUGGGGAAUAUUGCACAAUGGGCGGAAGCCUGAUGCAGCAACGCCGCGUGCGGGAUGACGGCCUUCGGGUUGUAAACCGCUUUCGCCUGUGACGAAGCGUGAGUGACGGUAAUGUGUAAAGAAGCACCGGCUAACUACGUGCCAGCAGCCGCGGUGAUACGUAGGGUGCGAGCGUUGUCCGGAUUUAUUGGGCGUAAAGGGCUCGUAGGUGGUUGAUCGCGUCGGAAGUGUAAUCUUGGGGCUUAACCCUGAGCGUGCUUUCGAUACGGGUUGACUUGAGGAAGGUAGGGGAGAAUGGAAUUCCUGGUGGAGCGGUGGAAUGCGCAGAUAUCAGGAGGAACACCAGUGGCGAAGGCGGUUCUCUGGGCCUUUCCUGACGCUGAGGAGCGAAAGCGUGGGGAGCGAACAGGCUUAGAUACCCUGGUAGUCCACGCUGUAAACGGUGGGUACUAGGUGUGGGGUCCAUUCCACGGGUUCCGUGCCGUAGCUAACGCUUUAAGUACCCCGCCUGGGGAGUACGGCCGCAAGGCUAAAACUCAAAGGAAUUGACGGGGCCCCGCACAAGCGGCGGAGCAUGCGGAUUAAUUCGAUGCAACGCGUAGAACCUUACCUGGGUUUGACAUGGAUCGGGAGUGCUCAGAGAUGGGUGUGCCUCUUUUGGGGUCGGUUCACAGGUGGUGCAUGGCUGUCGUCAGCUCGUGUCGUGAGAUGUUGGGUUAAGUCCCGCAACGAGCGCAACCCUUGUUCACUGUUGCCAGCACGUUAUGGUGGGGACUCAGUGGAGACCGCCGGGGUCAACUCGGAGGAAGGUGGGGAUGACGUCAAGUCAUCAUGCCCCUUAUGUCCAGGGCUUCACGCAUGCUACAAUGGCUGGUACAGAGAGUGGCGAGCCUGUGAGGGUGAGCGAAUCUCGGAAAGCCGGUCUCAGUUCGGAUUGGGGUCUGCAACUCGACCUCAUGAAGUCGGAGUCGCUAGUAAUCGCAAAUCAGCAACGCUGCGGUGAAUACGUUCCCGGG